UACGUAGGUGACAAGCGUUGUCCGGAUUUACUGGGCGUAAAGAGCGCGCAGGCGGUCGUUCAAGUCGAGUGUGAAAGCCCCCGGCUCAACUGGGGAGGGUCACUCGAUACUGAUCGACUUGAAGGCAGGAGAGGGAAGCGGAAUUCCCGGUGUAGUGGUGAAAUGCGUAGAUAUCGGGAGGAACACCUAUGGCGAAGGCAGCUCGCUGGGACGUUACUGACGCUGAGACGCGAAAGCGUGGGGAGCAAACAGG
rnacentral:rRNA from 1 species